rnacentral:rRNA from 1 species
UACGUAGGUGGCAAGCGUUGUCCGGAAUUAUUGGGCGUAAAGCGCGUGUAGGCGGCCCGGUAAGUCCGCUGUGAAAGUCCAGGGCUCAACCCUGGGAUGCCGGUGGAUACUGUCGGGCUCGAGUCCGGAAGAGGCGAGUGGAAUUCCCGGUGUAGCGGUGAAAUGCGCAGAUAUCGGGAGGAACACCUAUGGCGAAGGCAGCUCGCUGGGACGUUACUGACGCUGAGACGCGAAAGCGUGGGGAGCAAACAGG